AAGUCGUAACAAGGUUUCCGUAGGUGGUAAGUCAUUAUUCCAAAAACGCUACUUUGUUACAACAGUAUACUAAUUCAUUUUUAGAACCUGCGGAAGGAUCAUUAAAAGAGAAUUUUGUUUGGUAGUAGAAAUACUCCAGCAAAAUCCCACCUUGUCUAUACAAAAACAAAUUGUUGCUUCGGUGGGUUCAAGGAAUUUAUAUAUACUCUCUGAACUUUACUGUUUGGAUUAUUAUUAUAUUUCCUCCGCCAGAAGAAAAUCAAACAAAACUCUUUAUAAUAAAUUGUCUGAAAAUAUUGACUUGAAUAAAACUCAAGUGAUAAAUUAUUACAA
rnacentral:misc_RNA from 1 species